rnacentral:pre_miRNA from 1 species
AAAGUACUCCCUCUGUCCGAAAAUACUUGUCAUCAAAAUGGAUAAAAAAGAUGUAUCUAGAACUAAUAUACAUUUAGAUACAUCCCCUUUUAUUCAUUUUGAUGACAAGUAUUUCCGGACGGAGGGAGUACUAC